rnacentral:rRNA from 1 species
CACCAGACUCCUACGGGAGGCAGCAGUGGGGGAUAUUGCACAAUGGGGGGAACCCUGAUGCAGCGACGCCGCGUGGGCGAUGGAGCGCCUCGGCGCGUAAAGCCCUCUCAGCAGGGAAGAAGAUGACGGUACCUGACUAAGAAGCCCCGGCUAAAUACGUGCCAGCAGCCGCGGUAAUACGUAUGGGGCAAGCGUUGUCCGGAUUUACUGGGUGUAAAGGGCGUGUAGCCGGGCUUACAAGUCAGAUGUGAAAUCCGGGGGCUCAACCCCCGAACUGCAUUUGAAACUGUAGGUCUUGAGUAUCGGAGAGGCAGGCGGAAUUCCUAGUGUAGCGGUGAAAUGCGUAGAUAUUAGGAGGAACACCAGUGGCGAAGGCGGCCUGCUGGACGACAACUGACGGUGAGGCGCGAAAGCGUGGGGAGCAAACAGGAUUAGAUACCCCCGUA